ACGAACGCUGGCGGCGUGCCUAAUACAUGCAAGUAGAACGACUGAAGGAGGAGCUUGCUUCUCUGGAUGAGUUGCGAACGGGUGGAGUAACGCGUAGGGUAACCUGCCUGGUAGCGGGGGAGUAACUAUUGGAAACGAUAGCUAAUACCGCAUAACAGUAGAUGUUGCAUGACAUUUGCUUAAAAGGUGCAAUUGCAUCACUACCAGAUGGACCUGCGUUGUAUUAGCUAGUUGGUGGGGUAACGGCUCACCAAGGCGACGAUACAUAGCCGACCUGAGAGGGUGAUCGGCCACACUGGGACUGAGACACGGCCCAGACCCCUACGGGAGGCAGCAGUAGGGAAUCUUCGGCAAUGGACGGAAGUCUGACCGAGCAACGCCGCGUGAGUGAAGAAGGUUUUCGGAUCGUAAAGCUCUGUUGUAAGAGAAGAACGAGUGUGAGAGUGGAAAGUUCACACUGUGACGGUAUCUUACCAGAAAGGGACGGCUAACUACGUG
rnacentral:rRNA from 1 species